GACGAACGCUGGCGGCGUGCCUAAUACAUGCAAGUCGAGCGAACAGACGAGGAGCUUGCUCCUCUGACGUUAGCGGCGGACGGGUGAGUAACACGUGGAUAACCUACCUAUAAGACUGGGAUAACUUCGGGAAACCGGAGCUAAUACCGGAUAAUAUAUUGAACCGCAUGGUUCAAUAGUGAAAGACGGUUUUGCUGUCACUUAUAGAUGGAUCCGCGCCGCAUUAGCUAGUUGGUAAGGUAACGGCUUACCAAGGCAACGAUGCGUAGCCGACCUGAGAGGGUGAUCGGCCACACUGGAACUGAGACACGGUCCAGACUCCUACGGGAGGCAGCAGUAGGGAAUCUUCCGCAAUGGGCGAAAGCCUGACGGAGCAACGCCGCGUGAGUGAUGAAGGUCUUCGGAUCGUAAAACUCUGUUAUUAGGGAAGAACAAAUGUGUAAGUAACUAUGCACGUCUUGACGGUACCUAAUCAGAAAGCCACUGCUAACUACGUG
rnacentral:rRNA from 1 species